CGCACUGGCAUGUGAGUCAUGUGAAUAACUAUGAACGUAUUGUGACACGUGAUACCUUUGUCAACACACGUCAGAACGUACACGUUUUACGCUUCUUACUAGCAUCUUCUCAACGUGUAUACCGUGACGUCAAUGUGCCAUUUAUCAUGCUACGUGAGAUUCCCUGAGAAAGCAUAUCGUGUAUCCCAAGCCCCUUCACGUAAGGAACAUUUUGUUUAUCUCGAGAGACUGCAAGCUUCAAUGUGCGCCGUUCAUUCAGGAGUUAAUCUAUUGUUCCGAUAUCAGUUCGCCUAUUCGCUUACUUUCUUAUCGUUUGGCGAAGAUGGAUAUGCCACAAUACGCCCACAGUUAACGCUAAAACAUCGCAGGACCCCGCAAGAGUGUUGAAGGUACACGCGUGUGAAACAUGUUCGAGAACAUCGUUCCGGACACCUACACGAACUACGAUGUGCCCACGACAGAGGACGUGGACGCCUUCAGAAGGACGUUCGACGACCCAAGCACGGACUCUCCCGACACCGUAAUAAUCGGCGUGGGCAUAUGGUUCGACAGAGUCGUCGUCCAGCACAUUUACAGACACUCGAGAACGACGUCGUACUGCGGAAGACUCGUGGCCAUAGACCUCAUUAUGUUCCUCGUGACGAGCGGGUAUGCCCUGGAGCACUGUUCCGUCACCCUCUACGCCAGCCAAUUUCCAACCUCUUCCGCACUGGCCAUGGCGGAUUUACAGACUCAGGCCGACAACUAUGGUAGUACGUUGCAGAAGAUGGAAGUGAAGUACGCGAAGUUGACUAAGGAUGCGACGACUUCGAUUUUAGUGAGUAGUCUGCAGCGCUCCAGUGUCUUAGUGGAAAAAAUGACAGACGAAGAUUGGAAUUUUGUGUGGGACCUCGAACGAAAGUGGACGAAGUUUUGACAUGCCUCACAGCGACUUUGCCUCCUUGGCUACAGUUCAUAGAAGACAGGGCUGCUGACACACGUGAUAACGCCUCACGUAACAUCGACAUUGUAUUGUGUUGAGACAAUUAUGCUCAUGGGAGACGCUGUAGUAGUCGGGUCAUUGGCAAAGUUCAGUUUGAAUUUUUCACGUUGCGGCCAUUGACGUGCGCUGGAAUCUGACGGCAUCCUGCAUUUAACUUCCCCUGCAGACGAAGCCGUACCAAUGCAGCCGUACCACUUGCACCAUGCCACUAUGUUGCUGGCGUCCUCACUAUGGUUCUAACCUUCAAAUUGGGACCAGUAAAUUGACUGUUACUUAC